rnacentral:rRNA from 1 species
AGGUUAAGCUACAAAGAGCACACGGAGGAUGCCUAGGCGCCAGGAGCCGACGAAGGACGUGGCGAACAACGAUAACGCCUCGGGGAGCUGUAAGCAAGCUUUGAUCCGGGGAUGUCCGAAUGGGGAAACCCGGCUGUCUUCAUCGACAGUCACUACUCACUGAAUUCAUAGGUGAGUGAGAGGCAGACCAGGGGAACUGAAACAUCUAAGUACCCUGAGGAAGAGAAAACAAUAGUGAUUCCGUCAGUAGCGGCGAGCGAACGCGGAUUAGCCCAAACCAAGGAGCUUGCUCCUUGGGGUUGUGGGACGUCUCACAUGGAGUUACAAAGGAACCGGUUAGAUGAAGAGGUCUGGAAAGGCCCACCAGAGAAGGUAAAAGCCCUGUAGUUCAAAACUUGUUCCCUCCGAGACGGAUCCCGAGUAGUGCGGGGCACGUGAAACCCCGUAUGAAUCCGGCAGGACCAUCUGCCAAGGCUAAAUACUCCCUGGCGACCGAUAGUGAAGCAGUACCGUGAGGGAAAGGUGAAAAGCACCCCGGAAGGGGAGUGAAAUAGAUCCUGAAACCGUGUGCUUACAAGAAGUCAGAGCCCGAUCUAUGGGUGAUGGCGUACCUUUUGUAGAAUGAACCGGCGAGUUACGUUCCCGUGCAAGGUUAAGGUGAAGAGCUGAAGCCGCAGCGAAAGCGAGUCUGAAUAGGGCCAAUGAGUACGUGGACGUAGACCCGAAACCGGGU